GGAGUGAUUUGAAAUGACACCAGGCAGAACCAAAGCUAGGUGGAGCCAAGUUUCAGGGUCAUGGUGGGAAGGGAGAGGAAAGGACACCGAGGGAGGUGAGGGACGGGCUAAAGGGGCACCGAGACCCCCCCCAGUAGACGUGGUGGUGUCCAUGAGGGAAGUAGAGGAGGGGACACGGGGGGAAUGUGAAGCAGGUUAGGAAGCUAAGGGUCCGCUGCAAAGUGCAGAGCUCCCUCUUUUUCCACCAGAACUCCAAAACACAGAGAAAAUGUUUCUGUGCAGCUGCUCAGGACAGCCCUGUGUCUCAUGUAGAGUCCAAUUCUUUGUGCCAUGGGUGUAUGUGUUCCUCCUUCAAAAUGAAGACGUGCUGCCCGGUGUUUCGGCAUUAGAGAUUGUACCUGCUGGAAUGAGUCUGUCCUCCCCACAGCUUGUGGUCGGUUCCAUUGCGUCACCUCGGCAGCAUCACAGGACUUGUUGGACAGGUUGUCAGCAGUCUACAACCUCUGGUCAUGUCAAGGCGCUCUGGUGUUUUUUCCUGGAAAUUCCAAGGUCCUUGGUUUUUAUUAUUUUAACUACUUAUUUACUGUAAAAGAUUUUGAAUAAAAUCUUAAAUAAGAGUA